rnacentral:rRNA from 1 species
UACAGAGGUCUCAAGCGUUGUUCGGAUUCAUUGGGCGUAAAGGGUGCGUAGGCGGCGCGGUAAGUCGGGUGUGAAAUCCCCAGGCUCAACCUGGGAACUGCAUCCGAUACUGGAUGGCUUGAAUUCGGGAGAGGGAUGCAGAAUUCCAGGUGUAGCGGUGAAAUGCGUAGAUAUCUGGAGGAAUACCGGUGGCGAAGGCGGCAUCCUGGACCGACAUUGACGCUGAUGAGCGAAAGCUAGGGGAGCAAACGGG